rnacentral:tRNA from 3 species
GGCGGUGUAGCUCAGUUGGCUAGAGCAUGCGGUUCAUACCCGCAGUGUCGGUGGUUCGAUUCCACUCACCGCCACCA